GCCCACGUAGUUCAGCAGGAUAGAACGUCGCCCUCCUAAGGCGGAUGUCGCAGGUUCGAAUCCUGCCGUGGGUA
rnacentral:tRNA from 1 species